UCUUCCGUGGCGCAAUUGGCUAGCGCGUCUGACUGUUAGAUGCAGUUAUUUCGGUAGCUGGUAGCAAUCAGGAGGUUGACAGUUCAAGCCUGUCCGGGAGAG